GAUGAACGCUGGCGGCGUGCCUAACACAUGCAAGUCGAGCGAAGCGAUUUAACGGAAGUUUUCGGAUGGAAGUUAAAUUGACUGAGCGGCGGACGGGUGAGUAACGCGUGGGUAACCUGCCUCAUACAGGGGGAUAACAGUUAGAAAUGACUGCUAAUACCGCAUAAGCGCACAGCAUCGCAUGAUGCAGUGUGAAAAACUCCGGUGGUAUGAGAUGGACCCGCGUCUGAUUAGCUAGUUGGUGAGGUAACGGCUCACCAAGGCGACGAUCGGUAGCCGACCUGAGAGGGUGAUCGGCCACAUUGGAACUGAGAGACGGUCCAA
rnacentral:rRNA from 1 species